UACGAAGGGGGCUAGCGUUGCUCGGAAUUACUGGGCGUAAAGCGCUCGCAGGCGGUUUCUUAAGUCUGAUGUGAAAGCCCACGGCUCAACCGUGGAGGGUCAUUGGAAACUGGGAGACUUGAGUGCAGAAGAGGAGAGUGGAAUUCCUGGUGUAGCGGUGAAAUGCGCAGAUAUCAGGAAGAACACCCGUGGCUAAGGCGGCUCUCUAGUACGGUACUGACGCUGAGACGCGAAAGCGUGGGGAGCAAACAGG
rnacentral:rRNA from 1 species